UUUCCGGUUGAUCCCGCCGGAGGCCAUUGCUAUUGGGAUCCGAUUUAGCCAUGCUAGUCGUACGAGGUUAGACUCGCGGCGAAUAGCUCAGUAACACGUGGCCAAACUACCCUGCAGACCGCAAUACCCUCGGGAAACUGAGGCUAAUAGUGGAUACCACACUCAGACUGGAAUGUCGCGUGUGCCAAACGCUCCGGCGCCGAAGGAUGCGGCUGCGGCCGAUUAGGUAGUCGGUGGGGUAACGGCCCACCGUGCCAAUAAUUGGUACGGGUCAUGAGAGUGAGAGCCCGGAGACGGAAUCUGAGACAAGAUUCCGGGCCCUACGGGGCGCAGCAGGCGCGAAACCUUUACACUGCACGCCAGUGCGAUAAGGGGAUCCCAAGUGCGUAGGCAUAGAGCCUACGCUUUUGUCCACCCUAGGGUGGUGGACGAAUAAGGGCUGGGCAAGACCGGUGCCAGCCGCCGCGGUAAUACCGGCAGCCCGAGUGAUGGCCGAUCUUAUUGGGCCUAAAGCGUCCGUAGCUGGCCGCACAAGUCCAUCGGGAAAUCCACCUGCUCAACAGGUGGGCGUCCGGUGGAAACUGUGUGGCUUGGGACCGGAAGGCGCGACGGGUACGUCCGGGGUAGGAGUGAAAUCCUGUAAUCCUGGACGGACCGCCGAUGGCGAAAGCACGUCGCGAAAACGGAUCCGACAGUGAGGGACGAAAGCUAGGGUCUCGAACCGGAUUAGAUACCCGGGUAGUCCUAGCCGUAAACACUGCCUGUUAGGUGUGGCUCCCACUACGAGUGGGUGCUGUGCCGUAGGGAAGCCGCUAAACAGACCGCCUGGGAAGUACGUCCGCAAGGAUGAAACUUAAAGGAAUUGGCGGGGGAGCACUACAACCGGAGGAGCCUGCGGUUUAAUUGGACUCAACGCCGGGA
rnacentral:rRNA from 1 species